ensembl:lncRNA
CAACAGCCCUGGCCCAGGAGAACUCUAUGCAGCCCCCAAGGACGACGGCUUCAGCUCAGUGAUGCCGAACCUUUUAGACCUUUGAGUGCCAACGCAGGCGGCUGCAGCAUGUGUGCCAGGGCUCCCACCACUGCCCUCCCUCGGAUUAAUCCUUGGCCCAUGUGCUGGCCAAUAUCCUGGCACCAGAGCUUCCUGCCUUUCUUUGGGUUUUGCUUCUUCCCAUCCCAGAAGUCUACCAGGCAACUAGCAUCAAUCAUUUAUAACAAAUGGGAAAUCAAAGACAACUAGAAAGCUGUUUUCACAACAUCUGAGUCCUCUUCAGACGUCACUGCGCCAGAGACAGUACAACGGC